UGGUACCUGUGAGAGGGAAAAACAUACAUAGUAUCUGGGAAACGUGUUGUUUUACUAGCCAACUCCCCACACUUUCACAGUCACCUUUGUCAUCUGAUCAGUAUUUGCUGUUAGGGAAAGAAAUAGGAAACUAUGAAAAUAAUAAACCGGGUCAAACACCUCCAUAUCCUGUUCUUCUACAGCCCAGUGUACCCCACUGAAAUGCGCUCCGUAGCCACGUAUGUUCUUCCACCCAGCUUUGAUAGCAAACACGCACGUUAAGGUCUUGGCAUGAUCAAUACGGAAAAGCCGCAGAACUGCAAGCGAGCAGGAGGCGACGCAGCUCCGCCCUGGGGCCGGUCCGAGCCGCCGCCAGCCUGUCCGUCGGUCGGCUCCUCCGUCCUCCGCGGGUGGCGGGGCGGAAGCGCUGCAGCCUCCCUGCUCUGUAAAAGCCCUUCUCCCGGCGCUGGGGGGGGGGAAGGAAGACCCUGCCAGCAGGGCGGCUGUUCGUACCUACACGGAGCAAAAACCUUGACCAAAAGGAGCGGGCACCAGCUUUAUUCUAUACAGCGGCAUUUUCGCUUUACAGAUAUGUGAAACUGAUUUUUUGGGAAGCCUCUGAACAACGACAACCGCGUUUUCUUCGUAACGCAACUAGGGCACAAGAGCGCGCCGUCAGCCCCAGCCCGCCCCGGCCCCGGCCGCCCCCGCCCCGCGCCACCCCGCUCACCCGCUGCAGCGUCUCCUGGUUCACCUCCGCCUUCCCGCGCAGCCGCUCCGGCACGAACGCCACCGACAUGGCGCCGCCGCCGCCCCGCGCGAGGGCCGAGGGGAGCCGGGGGCCCCGCCCCCCGCGCGCGGUGGCUGCUGCCGUCACACGGCCCCGCCCCGCCCGUGAAAGCCGCGGCCAGGCCCGACCACCUCUUUCCCUGCCCCGUCGCUGCAGGGCGCGGCCCUCCAGCGCUCCUGCCGGGCAUAGCCACAACGAACAACCUCCCAGAGUCUGAUUUUAUUGAACAGUUUAUUCUGGUUUAAAAUAAAAAUUAAAAAAAAAAAAAAAAAAAGAGAGAGAAACUCUCACUUUCGUGGAGCAAGGUACACUGAAGGUAUGCCACGCCGCCGCUUCCCGGGCACGGAGCAGCCUGCUGCGUCACCCCCGGCCAGGGGAAAGGCUGACAUUCAGGCCCUCGCAGCAGGUAUCACGGGUAUUUACAAAUUCAUCGCGUUUAAAUAAGCCUGGGACACCUCAUACAGCAUACAGAGUUAUUGCAACAGUACAGCACUUGUCUCUAUGGUCAAAAACCUCAGCGGCUGUUCAGAGUCAUGAUUUCGUGGAUCCCAAAAGGCAGCGUUGUUAACAUGCAAAAACAUUACUAAACAAUAUUAUCUAACUUCUACAGUUGCCAAAUACCUGACCUUAAUAAGGAAACCAAUUACAAAAUACUUCCGUGUAGUGCUAUACAAAAGUUAUAAAAUUAAGAUUCUAUCAACCACUUUUAAAUAUUCCAAUUUUCCAACAGUGCAGUUUUCCACAUCUUUAUCACCACUGAACAUCUUGAAGAUAAUGUAAAAAAAAGAAAAGAAAAAAUCAGCAAAUUAGAUCAAAACAUUUUAAUCUUUGGAUCCCUUUAUUCCUGUGGCCUUCAUACACAUAUACAGACACAAAUGACCAGGUUUCUAUUUCAGCUUCUCAGAAAGUUGUAACUGGUCUUUCAGAAUUGGCAAAAAGUCCACACAAUGUCAUUUGUGACUUCACGGUCUUGGAACCAGAGUCUCAAUGUCUCCAAGCUAUGGUCUAUCAAAAUGCAAACAACUUCAAACACUAAGAAUUCUUUAAAUUGCUUAUGCCUACAGGUAUUACAAUAAAGUUAACAUUUCAAGAAUUGACAAAUGGAGACAUCCUUUUGUCCCAGGCAUUCCAGGAGAAUCACAAACUCGCGUGCCUGGUCCAUUAUUAAAAAAGUUAAUAUUUAUCGCUAAGUAAAAUUAAUUGCAAAUUUUGACAUAUGAAAAUUUCUUUCCUCCUCAUUUGAAAAUAUCUCCUUAAUUUGGUCAAAUCCUGUGAUAUGCCAGAAACUACAAAAUCAAAUUCUUGCGAGAGAAGUGAAGAGUGUAUCCAGUUUUGUGAAUGGAAGAACGUUUUCAAAUCUUCAUUACAGUCUGAAUAUAAAAAUCAAACC